UAGGGGUGCUACAAGUUGACCACUGCAGCAGUAAAGAUGACUCUGAAGAAUGGCGUGGGUUGGUUCCUUUCAAAUGCACUUGAGCAGUGGUCUCCAACCACAGGGCCACAGAGCUGGAGCUGGAUCUACCAUGAAAGACUUGUGAAUCCAGGAAGAGAGACUGACUGGGCAACAUGUUAUUCAGGGUCUCCCUCUGUUGUCCAAGGCUGGAGUGUAGUAGUGCUAUCGCAGCUGACUGCAGCCUCAACCUUCCAGGCUGAAGCGAUCCUCCCACCUCAACCUCCCACGUGGCUGAGACUACAGGUGCUUGCCACUAUGCCCAACUAACAUUUGGAAUUUUCGUAUACGUGGAUUCCAGAGGGGUGACAGCGAAACGUGGGACCAUCCAGUUGCAGGAAAACAAGCUUAACACGCCCACUAAUUCUACAUUAUGCUCCUACCUCCCGGCAGCCUCUCCAGGCCCAGAACUUUCUCCAGUCAGCCUCUACAGACCAAGCUCAUGACUCACAAUGGCCUAUUUAGGCCCAUACCCUACGUCACGGCAGCCUCCGCAGAUGAGGCUACUGCCUCACAACAGCCUCCACAGGCACAGCUCCAUCGUUACAAUGGCCUCUUUAGACCCAGCUCCUGCCUCCCAGCCUUCUCUCCAGGCCCUGAACUUUCUCAAGUCGACCUCACCAGGCCCAGCUCAUGCUUCUUUGCAGCCUCUCCAGGCCCAGCUCCUGCAUCUUGGUGGCCCCUCCAGGCCCAGCCUCUGCCUCCCGUCAGCCUCUACAGUCCCAACGUCUGCCUCACAGCAGAUUCUUCACGCCCAGCAUCUACCUCACUGUGGACCCCCCAAGCCAAGCUCCCAACCUUUCAGCAGCUUCUACACACCCAGCUCCUGCCACCCAGUGGCCUCUUUAGGCCAAGCUCAUGCUUCACAAGGGCCUUUCCAGGCCCAACUUUUGUCUCAUGGCAACCUUCCCUGGCCAGAUUCCUGCCUGUCUCCCAGCAGCCUAGACAGGCCCAGGUCUUGCCUCACACUGGCCUCUCUACAUCCAGCUUAUGCCUCACGGUGGCCUCU
rnacentral:lncRNA from 1 species